rnacentral:lncRNA from 1 species
UGAGGACACAUUGAUGUUUCAUGAGCUUGUCCUUCAGCAGCAGUCAUACCUCAUAAGGACACUUUAAAAAGAGCACUUCGGAAAGUGGCAAGAAUGCUGGGAUACGUGUUUUUGAAGAAAUGGAGAAUAUUUCCAGGUUGGAUUUAUCAAUCAGUAGAGGUAUAUGUUAAUUCCAUUCACAAUGAAAUUUCCCCCG